CUAUUUUUGACCACAAGUCCAUCAAAGCAACUGUGUAACUGUGUAACUACGCAGUCGUAGAAGCAUAUUUCGGCCAUUACACCUACAUACUUUUUUACAGUAGGCCUCACUGAGAGACAGUGGAUCAUUUGGACAUAACUAGAUUAGUAGAUCAAUCCAAGAAAUCCAAAUAUCAGUCCAGACUAGUUACCACUCUAUUUGUGAAUCCUGACUUUUCUGUUAUCAAAGGGCAGACUUAAAUACUAAAAGUC